AAGAAAUGUUGCCUUGAUAGCGGGCCAGCAGUGACUAAUUUUCUACGAGUGAAUGACUGAUGAGAUCAAAGCAAUAUGGUUACUACGGGUCUCAUGAAUAUUUAGUGUUCAAAACGUUGUAACAGUCAUUAGGAAAAGAAUGGCGAGGCUAUAUCUUUCAAGUCACAUAACAAACGACAUUUGGUUUGUGGUUAUAUAUUUUCCUCAUCUGACAACAAUUCGCAACCAAACUUUGCAAUUUUACUCAUUUUAAGAUGUUCUUUCUUGCUAUGAAGUAUGGUAAUGGAGUUCGUUCUUCUUGUCCAGAUCAAAAUUUCGUCUAUAGAGUAUAGCUGGAAUUAUCCAUCCAAACGGGUGUUUUGUUUAGUCCUAUAGUUUAGAGAUUGUUUACGGUCAAUUAGACCCCUUUACUCACGAUACCGGACGAAUUUGGAACCGGACUAAAGUUCGGCCGUGCAAACACACGAGAACCACAGAACUGGACGAAUUUGAGACCCCCUAACAGGACGAAUUCGCGUGUAAACAGGCGAAAAAGGACGAAUUUCAGACCG